rnacentral:tRNA from 1 species
GCUCGAGUGGUGGAAUUGGUAGACACGCCGGACUUAAAAUCCUGUGGGCAUUUUGCCCGUGCGGGUUCAAGUCCCGCCUCGAGUACGA